CGGCGAGUGAAGCGGCAACAGCUCAAAUUUGAAAUCUGGCCCUAGCGGUCCGAGUUGUAAUUUGCAGAGGAUGCUUUUGGUGCGGUGCCUUCCGAGUUCCCUGGAACGGGACGCCGGAGAGGGUGAGAGCCCCGUACGGUUGGACACCUACCCUAUACAUAGCUCCUUCGACGAGUCGAGUAGUUUGGGAAUGCUGCUCUAAAUGGGAGGUAAAUUUCUUCUAAAGCUAAAUACCGGCCAGAGACCGAUAGCGCACAAGUAGAGUGAUCGAAAGAUGAAAAGCACUUUGAAAAGAGGGUUAAAUAGCACGUGAAAUUGUUGAAAGGGAAGCGUUUGCGACCAGACCUUUUCCAGGCGGAUCAUCCGGCGUUCUCGCCGGUGCACUCCGCCUGGUCUAGGCCAGCAUCGGUUUCCUUAGGGGGAUAAAGGCCUGGGGAACGUAGCUCUUCAGGGAGUGUUAUAGCCCCUANCGUAAUACCCUUCAGGGGACCGAGGACCGCGCAAGGAUGCUGGCGUAAUGGUCGUCAACGACCCGUCUUGAAACACGGACCAAGGAGUCGAACAUUUGUGCGAGUGUUUGGGUGUCAAACCCUCACGCGUAAUGAAAGUGAACGGAGGUGAGAGCCCUUACGGGUGCAUCAUCGACCGAUCCUGAAGUCUUCGGAUGGAUUUGAGUAAGAGCAUAACUGUUCGGACCCGAAAGAUGGUGAACUAUGCGUGGAUAGGGUGAAGCCAGAGGAAACUCUGGUGGAGGCUCGCAGCGGUUCUGACGUGCAAAUCGAUCGUCAAAUCUGCGCAUGGGGGCGAAAG
rnacentral:rRNA from 1 species